GACGAACGCUGGCGGUGUGCUUAACACAUGCAAGUCGAACGGACAGACAGAGAGCUUGCUCUCUUGAAGUUAGUGGCGAACGGGUGAGUAACGCGUAAUCAACCUGCCCUUCAGAGGGGGAUAACAACGGGAAACCGUUGCUAAUACCGCGUACGAUUCAUGAACGGCAUCGUUUAUGAAUGAAAGGUGGCCUCUAUGUAUAAGCUAUCGCUGAAGGAGGGGAUUGCGUCUGAUUAGCUAGUUGGAGGGGGAACGGCCCACCAAGGCAAUGAUCAGUAGCCGGUCUGAGAGGAUGAACGGCCACAUUGGGACUGAGACACGGCCCAAACUCCUACGGGAGGCAGCAGUGGGGAAUCUUCCGCAAUGGACGAAAGUCUGACGGAGCAACGCCGCGUGAGUGAUGAAGGUCUUCGGAUUGUAAAGCUCUGUUAAUCGGGACGAAAGAGUUCUGCGUGAAUAAUGCAGAAAAGUGACGGUACCGGAAUAGAAAGCCACGGCUAACUACGUGCCAGCCGCCGCAGUAA
rnacentral:rRNA from 1 species